rnacentral:rRNA from 1 species
CAGGCUUAACACAUGCAAGUCGAGGGGCAGCAUGGUCUUAUCUUGCUAAGGCCGAUGGCGACCGGCGCACGGGUGAGUAACACGUAUCCAACCUGCCGUCUACUCUUGGACAGCCUUCUGAAAGGAAGAUUAAUACAAGAUGGCAUCAUGAGUCCGCAUGUUCACAUGAUUAAAGGUAUUCCGGUAGACGAUGGGGAUGCGUUCCAUUAGAUAGUAGGCGGGGUAACGGCCCACCUAGUCUUCGAUGGAUAGGGGUUCUGAGAGGAAGGUCCCCCACAUUGGAACUGAGACACGGUCCAAACUCCUACGGGAGGCAGCAGUGAGGAAUAUUGGUCAAUGGGCGAGAGCCUGAACCAGCCAAGUAGCGUGAAGGAUGACUGCCCUAUGGGUUGUAAACUUCUUUUAUAAAGGAAUAAAGUCGGGUAUGGAUACCCGUUUGCAUGUACUUUAUGAAUAAGGAUCGGCUAACUCCGUGCCAGCAGCCGCGGUAAUACGGAGGAUCCGAGCGUUAUCCGGAUUUAUUGGGUUUAAAGGGAGCGUAGAUGGAUGUUUAAGUCAGUUGUGAAAGUUUGCGGCUCAACCGUAAAAUUGCAGUUGAUACUGGAUAUCUUGAGUGCAGUUGAGGCAGGCGGAAUUCGUGGUGUAGCGGUGAAAUGCUUAGAUAUCACGAAGAACUCCGAUUGCGAAGGCAGCCUGCUAAGCUGCAACUGACAUUGAGGCUCGAAAGUGUGGGUAUCAAGCAGGAUUAGAUACCCUGGUAGUCCACACGGUAAACGAUGAAUACUCGCUGUUUGCGAUAUACUGCAAGCGGCCAAGCGAAAGCGUUAAGUAUUCCACCUGGGGAGUACGCCGGCAACGGUGAAACUCAAAGGAAUUGACGGGGGCCCGCACAAGCGGAGGAACAUGUGGUUUAAUUCGAUGAUACGCGAGGAACCUUACCCGGGCUUAAAUUGCAGAUGAAUUACGGUGAAAGCCGUAAGCCGCAAGGCAUCUGUGAAGGUGCUGCAUGGUUGUCGUCAGCUCGUGCCGUGAGGUGUCGGCUUAAGUGCCAUAACGAGCGCAACCCUUGUUGUCAGUUACUAGCAGGUUCCGCUGAGGACUCUGACAAGACUGCCAUCGUAAGAUGUGAGGAAGGUGGGGAUGACGUCAAAUCAGCACGGCCCUUACGUCCGGGGCUACACACGUGUUACAAUGGGGGGUACAGAGGGCCGCUCCCACGCGAGUGGAUGCCAAUCCCCAAAACCUCUCUCAGUUCGGACUGGAGUCUGCAACCCGACUCCACGAAGCUGGAUCCGCUAGUAAUCGCGCAUCAGCCACGGCGCGGUGAAUACGUUCCCGGGCCUUGUACACACCGCCCGUCAAGCCAUGGGAGCCGGGGGUACCUGAAGUGCGUAACCGCGAGGAGCGCCCUAGGGUAAAACUGGUGACUGGGGC